CAGUAGCCGCGGUAAUACGUAGGGGGCAAGCGUUGUCCGGAAUCAUUGGGCGUAAAGCGCGUGUAGGCGGCUCGAUAAGUCUGCUGUGAAAGUCCAGGGCUCAACCCUGGAAUGCCGGUGGAAACUGUCGAGCUCGAGUCCGGAAGAGGCAAGUGGAAUUCCUGGUGUAGCGGUGAAAUGCGCAGAUAUCAGGAGGAACACCAAUGGCGAAGGCAGCUUGCUGGGACGGUACUGACGCUGAGACGCGAAAGCGUGGGGAGCAAACAGGAUUAGAUACCCCAGUAGUCCCUGUCUCUUAUAC
rnacentral:rRNA from 1 species